rnacentral:rRNA from 1 species
UGGGGAAUCUUGCACAAUGGGGGAAACCCUGAUGCAGCGACGCCGCGUGAACGAUGAAGCUCUUCGGGGUGUAAAGUUCUUUCGACAGGAACGAUAAUGACGGUACCUGGAGAAGAAGCUUCGGCUAACUACGUGUCAGCAGCCGCGGUUAUACGUAGGCAGCGAGCGUUGUUCGGAGUUACUGGGCGUAAAUAGUGCGUAGGCGGCGAGCCAAGUUUGGUGUGAAAUCUCCCGGCUUAACCGGGAGGGUGCGCCGAAAACUGGUUGGCUGGAGUAUGGGAGAGGAAAGCGGAAUUCCAGGUGUAGCGGUGAAAUGCGUAGAUAUCAGGAGGAACACCUGCGGUGUAGACAGCUUUCUGGACCAAAACUGUCGCUGAGGCACGAAAGCGUGGGUAGCAAACA